rnacentral:lncRNA from 1 species
AUGCUGGGUGCGGGCCAGGCUGUGGGGAUCUAGCAAUGAGCAAGACACAGGCCCAGCCUCAAAACGACCGGGGCCAGAAAUGGAGCUGGACCUCUCCACAUAGAAUUCUUUAGACAAGCACCAGGCAAACCUGGAAAACUCUGUAGUGAGCAAGAAAGAAAAGGAAGAUAUGAGGCAGACCCUAAAAAUCCUUGCCAGUGCUACACUCAAAGAAACAGAAAGAGGAAGAGAAAACCAGACAUCAACAACUCCCCUCCCAUCCUUGUUUUAAUACUUAGCACCGGAUACCCCAUGAUCCAGCCAACCCAAGCUGCCUUGCAGACACAUCCUGCCAUUUUCUAUCCCCACUUCUUGCUCUCAGUGUUUUCUCUACCUGUAAUGUUAUCUCCUCAUGGCAUGUUCAAAUCCUCUACAGCUCAGCUGACACUUAACCUAAUGUCUGUCAUCCAUUACUAUCUCAAUUGGUCAGAUAGUCUUGCAUUGUCUUGAUGAACAAGAGUGUUUAGUCCCUCCUCUAGUACUUUUCACAUAAUAAUCUGUGUGGAAAUUAUUCUGUACAUAUUCUACUCUGCUAGACUGUAGAUUCCUCAAGGAUGGGGAUCAUUUCUACUUAGCAUCCGCUCUCUCAAUUGGAACUUGCACACAGCACAAUCAAUAUUGCCUAAAUGAACUGAUGUACAGUGAGGAUAGCUGGUUUUUAGGGUGAAUAUAGCCCUUAUUAAAGGACAAGUAUAGAACAAUACGUAGCUAUUCCCAUAUUUUAACCCACAAAUAGUCUUUCCGGCUACCCUCAUUCAGUUACCCUAACAGCAGCCAAGCUGUAAAUUAGGCAACAUUGCCACCUAGUGGACAUCAUGGACAAUAAACCAGAAGCAAUGUUCUUCCCAACAAAUUUUUGUUAAUCUUCCAGACAGUGCCACAGACUGUGUUCUCCCAUUUUUACAGGUUCUGCAGACCAAAGCUCAGUUCAUGUCACCCUAUAAAUUACUCCACGGACACAUGUAAAUUUUUUUACUUUUCUGUUAAUGCUCCGAAUACACUUCCAAAGUCCUUGAAAGUUUCUGAAAAUUCUCUACAAAUCACAAGAGCUUCUAUUCGUUUUUGCAAUAGGAAUGUUUCAUGCUGUUGUUUUAAAAUUAUUUCAA